rnacentral:lncRNA from 1 species
CAGGAUUUAUUUUUUAAAACUUAGAAAAAUAUUUGGACCCAAGGGGGAAUGUUUCCCCCAAGGAGAUGUCUCGUUCUCUUUAGAGACGCAGAGGCUCCAUCCAGGAAGGGACUCUGCACAUGUUCAGAGGUUGUAUUCGGCUUCAAAAGGACCGGCCUCGUACAUUUUACAUCUAAAAAAGCGAUCCUAAACUAGAUUCCGGACUCGAGCUACGGUUCAGAGAAAGAGAGACAAAGCUGAGAAGAGGGUAAAACUGGUUCCUGAAGGAAGAAAACGGACUUCUUACCGGCGGCAGUGGGUAAACUCGUCCCCUGAAUACGCCCUUCAAGGUCCUGAGGGCAAGGAGUGGAAUUUCAUCCGAAAACCUCAAGCUUUUCCUCACAUCUUUAACGGUCUCUCCAUCUCAAAGCCACCGCUCCUUCCCUUCUUCGUCUUCCUCCUCCUCACCGGUAUCCUAAGGCUAAUCCGGGAACGCCAAGCGCGUCCCAGAGCGCUGGAGGAGAGAAAAAGACUAGGAGACGCCUCCGAUUCCUUCGCUUUUCCCCUUCUUUUUUUUUCCAGCGGGUUCCCGAACGCCGGCGUCUCCUCAGCUCUCCAGAUCCCCGCAACAAAGAUGGCGUCGCUGGCUUUCCUGGGGCUCGAGGAGGCUUGGAAUAGAAGGCGAGCGUGCCCAAAGCAAAGAUGGCGGCGAUGGCGUGCCGUCCGUCCUGGAGGUGACAAGCACGCAGUCAGAAACGUUCAAGUCACAAUAAUUCCUGUGAGGAAGCAAAAGUUGUACUUUGAAGAAGCAGGACAGGAAGAGUAUUGAAGCUUUUGAACUUUGGUGCUAGAGAAGAUUUCUGAAAAUACCAAGGAUAGCCAAGAAACAAAUGGAUCGUAAUAAAUCAACUUAAAGUUCACACUUGAAAAAGAAACCUCCAGGCUGAAAUUUUCAUACUCUGGACACAUUUUGCAAAGAAUUGGAGAAGGCUUUAAUAAUGGAAAUGGUGGAAGGAAAGAAGAGAAGAAAACAGCAGCGAGCAAGGUAUAUGGAGUUGCAUGGUACAGUGGCAACGGUUACUUUAUAUGAAAUGCAAGAUUCUGGAUGACCAUAGGACAAUAAAGAAUGCUUUCC